AUGCUUUUCUAGUUCAUAAGCAAGUUGAGAGGGUGUUCACACUCUUAUGGGACAUGUGCCUCCCUUACACCCUGUUAUAACCUUGGCACAUUACCCAUCUGACA